GAUUGGCCCGCCGGGUCCUCGAGCCCGCUUCCUCCCCCUGGAAGCCACUACGGCGGCUCCGAGGAGGGGGAGGGGCAAGGAGGGACGGCCGGUCCCGUCAGUCAGGCAGCGGGAGCCGCCAGGAGCGGAUGGCGGCGGUGGUAGCGGCCUCACUCGCCGCUGGGGGUGAGGAGGCGGCGGCCACAACCUCCGUCCCAGGAUCUCCGGGUCUGCCCGGGAGCCGCAGUGCAGAGCGGGCUCUAGAGGAGGCCGUGGCCACCGGGACCCUGAACCUGUCUAACCGGCGUUUGAAGCACUUCCCCCGGGGCGCGGCCCGCAGCUACGACCUGUCAGACAUCACCCAGGCUGACCUGUCCCGGAACCGGUUCCCCGAGGUGCCAGAGGCAGCGUGCCAGCUGGUGUCCCUGGAGGGCCUGAGCCUGUACCACAAUUGCCUGAGAUGCCUGAACCCAGCCUUGGGGAAUCUCACAGCUCUCACCUACCUCAACCUCAGCCGAAACCAGCUGUCAUCGCUGCCACCCUAUAUCUGCCAGCUGCCCCUGCGAGUGCUCAUUGUCAGCAACAACAAACUGGGAGCCCUGCCUCCCGACAUCAGCGCCCUGGGAAGCCUGCGACAGCUUGAUGUGAGCAGCAAUGAGUUGCAGUCUCUGCCCUCAGAGCUGUGCAGUCUCCCUUCCCUGCGGGAUCUCAAUGUUCGCAGGAACCAGCUGAGCACCCUGCCGGAUGAGCUGGGGGACCUUCCUCUUGUCCGCCUGGAUUUCUCCUGUAACCGUGUCUCCCGCAUCCCGGUCUCCUUCUGCCGCCUCAGGCACCUGCAGGUCAUUCUGCUGGACAGCAACCCCCUGCAAAGCCCACCUGCUCAGGUCUGCCUGAAGGGGAAACUUCACAUCUUCAAGUAUUUGUCAACGGAGGCUGGGCGGCGCGGGGGGUCUGCACUGGGAGACCUGGCCCCUUCCCGCCCCCCGAGUUUCAGUCCCUGCCCAGCUGAGGACUUGUUUCCGGGACGUCGGUACGACGGUGGGCUGGACUCAGGCUUCCACAGCGUUGACAGUGGCAGCAAGAGGUGGUCUGGAAAUGAGUCGACGGAUGAGUUUUCUGAGCUGUCGUUCCGGAUCUCGGAGCUGGCCCGGGAGCCUCGGGGACCCAGGGAGCGGAGGGAGGAUGGCUCUGCCGACGGAGACCCCGAGCAGAUUGACUUCAUCGACAGCCACGUCCCUGGGGAGGAGGAAGAUCGAGGUGCUGGCGAGGAGCAGCGGCCACCAGAAUCGAGCCCCGUGGCAGGGGACAGGGAGAGGGCGCCAAGCAGCAGGCGGGAGGAGCCUGCAGGGGAGGAGCGCCGGCGCCCAGACACCUUGCAGUUGUGGCAGGAGCGUGAGCGGCGGCAGCAGCAGCAGCAGCAGCAGCAGAGUGGGGUGUGGGGGGCCCCCAGGAAGGACAGUUUUCUGAAGUUGGGAGUCAGGGCUGCUGGUGGGGGUGCUGCUGCCUCAUCCGCUCAGGCCACCUACAACACACCUAAGCCCAGUGCCCCCCAGCAGGGAGCUUCAGGGGGGCAGGGAGCCCCUGCCCCCACUCCGGCUUCCACCUGCCAGGAGCCCCUUCCUGUAGCUGAACCAGCAACCGCCCCGGCUCCCCGGCCGCUCGGCUCCAUCCAGAGACCAAACAGCUUCCUCUUCCGUUCUUCUUCUCAGAGUGGCUCAGGCCCUUCCUCACCAGACUCUGUCCUGAGACCUCGGCGAUCCCCUCAGCUGUUGGACGAAAAGGAGGUGAUGGCUCAGCUGCGCCAGGUCCUUGAGUCACGGCUGCAGCGGCCCCUGCCCGAGGACCUGGCCGAGGCUCUGGCCAGUGGGGUCAUCCUCUGUCAGCUGGCCAACCAGCUGCGGCCGCGGUCUGUGCCCUUCAUUCACGUGCCCUCGCCUGCUGUGCCAAAACUCAGUGCCCUCAAGUCUCGGAAGAAUGUGGAGAGUUUCUUAGAAGCCUGUCGAAAAAUGGGGGUGCCUGAGGAGUCCCUGUGCCAGCCCCACCACAUCCUGGAGGAGGAGGGGGCUCCGGGAAGGGGCCUCCCCUACAUCGCUGCUGUCGUCCACGCACUGCUGGAACGGCCUUAGGGGUUGAGGUCGGGGGUGCAGGGCCGCGACCCGGCCAGGACCCCAGGAACAGAAGACAGACACGCCUGGGCUCUGCUCUCUAGCGAGGACUGGUGAGGGCGGCCUCGGGCCUGGCCCUGUUCCUCGGGCACUUCGGCCUGAGAGAUUGGAAGCCGGCCCAGCAAGGCGCGUGGUCACCUCUGGGUGCGGCCGUGGGUCUGGGAUGGCAGGAGGGCCCUGAAUAUUGUGUCAAGUGCAAUAAAGAGAGGCCAGAAGCCAUCUAGGUUGCCCCUCGGGGGGUGUGUGUGUAUGUGUGUGUGUCUGCGAACGAAAGCUGGGUCGCCCGCAUCUCCACUGGGCGCCACAGGUCCCCCGCCGCCAGGGGGCGCCCACGGGAUCCCGGCGGGAGCGCGCGCCACGUGGCCCGGAAACGCGCUGGGCGCCGGCGUCGCGAGGCCCUGAGAGGUGGGCCGACCUGGGCUCGCGGGGACCGGGACGCUUAGGGCUCCGCUGGCCGCUAAGGGAGGUAGAGCCCGAGUGGGUUCCAGGAGCGGCCAGGCGGGCGGAGGGCGCGGAGGUGCUGCCCAGCCCUGCACCCAGACGGGGCAUGUUGCCCUGGACCCCCCGGCGGUGGGGCGCGGGCGGGGAGCCGGCGCCCGAGGAACAAGGCCCCUGGAUGGGCAGUAACCCCGGCCAGACCUGGGACUCUGGAGAGGAGCCGGAAACACCACCACAGGACAGCCCUCAGCCCAGGUCCCUAAGGCCUUCCUGGACCUGGAAAGAGCAGCUGCUGCCUUGGAGGCCCCCAUGCUUGGCUGCAGAGCGGUCCUCGGGAACCCCAGGUCCUCUCUCCCCCGAGAUGACCUGGGAGGUGGCCCCAUCAAGGAUGACCUUGCUAACACCUUGGGACCCCAACUAUGAGGCUCAAGCAGAACCACGGCAGGUGUGGGGACCCAGCUGUGCAUCUGGUGCCUCCUUCUCAGGCCGGACUUUGUGUCAUCCGUCAUUCUGGCCCCUGUAUGAGGCAGUCUCAGGCAGAGGCCUCAGGCCGGGUCUGACAGGACAUUGGAGCCGAGAGCAGGUGCCGAGGGAUGCAGGGCUCCCUGUGAUGUCCUGUGAAGAUGUCUUUCUUUCAGACCCUCUUCUGCCUUGUGGGCAGCGUGUUCCCCUAUACCUGUCCGAGCCCCCUCAGCAGGUGAUGGGCUCUCUGAAGCUGCUGCUCCCACCCCCGAUCAUGUCCCCCUGGGUGCUCCCCACUCCAUCCUCUGGCUGUCCCACCGCCUGGCUCAGUGGGCCCGAGCUGAUCGCCCUCACCGGUCUCCUGCAGAUGAGCCAGGGGGAGCCGAGGCCCAGCUUCUCCGGGGCUCCCCCGCCCCCUCCCGGCCCCCCAGACCUCGUCUCUGACCACCCGGGUGCCAGUGGUGCCCAAAGCUGUUCUCACUGCACUGACCCAUCUCUCCCACGAACCCCAGACACCCAUGGUCCAUAGCCUCUCUGGGGGCAGAGUGGGCCCCCUACUUCCCCAGGCAGGUUCUGUUGACAAUAAAACAGUGUUGGUUUG